rnacentral:tRNA from 1 species
GCGGGGUGGAGCAGUUCGGUAGCUCGUCGGGCUCAUAACCCGAAGGUCAUAGGUUCAAAUCCUGUCCCCGCUACCAA